rnacentral:rRNA from 1 species
UACGUAGGUGGCAAACGUUGUUCGGAAUCACUGGGCUUAAAGGGCGCGUAGGCGGUCGAUCAAGUCAGGGGUGAAAUCCUGCAGCUUAACUGUAGAAGUGCCUUUGAUACUGGUCGUCUCGAGGGAGGUAGGGGUGUGUGGAACUUCCAGUGGAGCGGUGAAAUGCGUUGAUAUUGGAAGGAACGCCGGAGGCGAAAGCGACGCACUGGACCUCUUCUGACGCUGAGGCGCGAAAGCUAGGGGAGCAAACGGG